rfam:Erinaceus europaeus unplaced genomic scaffold scaffold00331, whole genome shotgun sequence
AUACUUAGCUGGCAGGAGAGAUAAUAUGAGCACAAAGGUGUUUUUCCCAGGGUGAGGCUUAUGCAUUGCACUGUGGAUGUGCUGACCCCUGCAAUUUCCCCAAAUUUUGGGUAACUCGACUGCAUAAUGUGUGGUAGUGGGGGACUGCAUUCAUGCUCUCCCAUG